AAUAUAACCUGCUCAAUGAAAAAUUUUAAAUAGCUGCAAUUUUUGUACUAAGGUAGCAUAAUCAUUUGUUUUUUAAUUUUAAACUAGAAUGAAAGGUAAAACAAAUUAUUUCUUUAUUUUUUAUUUUAUUCCAAUUUAUAUUAAAUAUAAAAAUAUAUUUUUUUAAAAAAAAGACGACAAGACCCUAUUGAACUUUACUUUAGUUAAGCUGGGGAAGCUUAAUAAUAAACAUUUUAUUAAAAAUUUUAUAAAUGACCCAAAACAUUUGAUUAAUUAAUCAAGUUACCAUAGGGAUAACAGCGCAAUAAACUUUUAAAGUUCUUAUCUAAAAAUUUGUUUACGACCUCGAUGUUGAAUUAGAAACCUUUAUUAAGCAAAAAUAAUAAAAGUAGGUCUGUUCGACCUUUAAUAUUCUACAUGAUC
rnacentral:rRNA from 1 species